CUGCUUCAUUUGUGAAAUGGAGAAUAUGCUCACUUCUCAAGUCAGACGCAGACAGGAGAGGCUCACCUUAGAUGAUCUCAGGGACGUGUUCUGUGGGAGCUAGUUAGGAAUUGCUUUCAGUUGUCAAUAACAGGCUCUCGUAAAAUGAUGUCUUAAACAAUAUAGAGGUUUGUUUAAUAUUAUUUAAGGAGAAAUCCAACUUGCUAACUGGUGCAAUGGCCCAAAGUCAAGGUCUUUAGCUUUCUGGGUCUUUCCUUCCCUGCCCACAAAUGGCUGCUGUUGCUCCAGGGUUCACACCCAUUUGCCCAACAGCAUGGCAUUAAUAUCAGGAAAUCAAAUCUUUCAAGAGCUCAGAAGAAAUAUAUGGACAUCUCGUUGGACAGAAUUAUGUUGCUCGCCACCCCUACCUGUAAGGGUGCAUUCUUUGUUAAAUACAUUAUUUCCCCUGAAGAAAAAACCAAGAUUCUUUUGCCUAUAAACAAAGGAAAAUGGGUAACAGGGGCUCAGAGGAUUAAGUGCAUGAUGGUCUGGGUGGGCCCGGGAGUGGAGGCCUUUCAUAACCAAGUAACCAGGAAGAUGCUGGGCAAAUCCGAGGGAGCAGGGUCUUUGGUCCUGCGUCUGCUCCUCUGAACUUGCAGUGUUCACCCAGGAGGCUCCGUGUGCAGGGCAAGGCCUUGCUGCCCAUGCUGACCCUUGGCUGGAGCACCUUCUAAACGGGGUCUUGCUGUGUUGCCCAGGCUGGCCUUGAACUCAUAGCUGGAAGGAUCCUCCCGCCUCAGCUUCCUGAGUAAGUGGGUGUUAAGGUGGAGAUGUGAGGUGACCCAAAGCUCCUGUGUGGGGCAGGGCAUGCAGGCUCAGAGGCGAAGGGACUGGCUACUAUGAGAGCCUUCACCAAUGAGUGCUUUGCUCGCUGCUGGGGAUUAACUGGGCGGUGACGUGGCAGAGUGGCCUGGAGGAGCUGGUCAUGGGCAGCGGCUUAGGGUCUUAUUUUCUGAGCUGACCUUAGUCUCUCUCUGCUUUCCCAUUGCCGGGUCCUGAGCGGCCUUCCUUAGCCACGCCCUUCCACAUGAUGCUGGGCCUCACCUAGGGUCCAGACAAUGGGGUAGGCAGUGGUGGGCUGGGACCUCUGAAUCCCUGAGAUCCAAAUAAACCUUUUCUUCUUGAAAUCGUUCUUGUCAGGCCUUUUGUU
rnacentral:lncRNA from 1 species